AAACAAGAAGAAUGUCACAGUGAGAGCAACUACAUCCGGUGUUCUGCCAUCAAUAUUUCCGAGCAAACGGUCCACUUGAGUGGAUAAAUAUAUCAUGAAGAUUCCUAGUGUAUACUGAGUAGGGACAAGCCAGGACUUGCGACGACCGAAGUUCUUAAAGUAGACGGCAUCAACCAAGGGAGCCCAGAGCAGCUUAAGACUGAAUGGCCAGAAGACAAAACUGAAGAAAGCCUGAUCUGUAUAGCUAACAUUUUUGCUCUGCAAAAUGAGGGGGAUGCUCCCCGCCAGGCCUAAGGGAAUGCCCUGAAGCACGUAAAGAAAGAGUAGUAACAAAAUGCUACUUAGUUCGGAUCUAUAGCUCCGCGGGGCUUUAGGGAAGUCACCAGGGCCCGCAUCACCUAGAAGAACUUCCCGGUCCCCCUCCCCGCCCACCGAGUCUCGGCGACUGUCAUCCCAGCCGCCCGGUGGCAGCGGGCCACUCUUCAUAUCCAGAGCGUGGCUAAACAUGCCUGACCGCCGCUGCCGACUGUUGUCCUUGUGGGAGAUGGUCGGUGACAUAUCAGAGACGACGUAGAGCCCGGUGUGUGGGGGCCUGAGGCUGGCGUUUUGAUCAGUCUAGUCCCAGGUCCAAGGCAGUCUCUCUGGACCAGGGUCACGGUGGUUCAACGCCGGGAGGGCGGACGCGGAGAGACUAGUCGCUGUUUUGCAGCAGGGAGCCAGAUCCCUGGCAGGUGGCCCAGGCGAAGCCUGGGUCGCUGCCCACAGGAGCGACUUCAGGGAGCCGGCAAGAGCUCCCUGUGCAGCCGCACCCGGCUCGAGGCUGGCGGAGCGUGCCGUGGCGCUGCGACGGAGUCUGGCUCUUAACUGCAGCGGGGACUCGAACGCCCUCCCGCCCGUCCACCUGCCACUAGGUCUCCGCUGACACUGCAGCGGGCACCCUCCUCAGUAGACACCCGAGGUAAAGGAUAACUUCCUGCCUCCCGCUUCGGGAAGUGGUUCCCUGCCAAAAUGCGUUCCGUGCCUCCCGACGGAGCCAGCGAAUCAGAACAAGUUCCGGUGGCGGCGACCGCGAACAACGUUUGCUAGGAACCAUUAAUUCCCUCGAUUCUGACCCCGAGGGAGGAAUAACGCCAGCGUACCGAGCGUCCAAGACGGAACGUCUUAACAAACCCGGUUCCGUUUGCGCAUGCGCCUGCCUGGAACUCGUGGGCCUCGGCCAUUGGGCCCUCGUCGCCACGUGAGCACGGGUUUUCUGGAUUGGCCUAGGCCUUGGUGAUAACGUUGCGCAAGAGCCUACUGAGUUCAAUUAGUGGUUCCCUGCAUGUAUGUGUCUUUGGAGGCUAAUCACUGGAGCAUGGGCAACCUACCAGCAGCCACACAUUCAAUGAAAAAUGACUCUUCUCCCAGCAGCCAACAAUUAUCAACAGCUCCUGAGUUAGGGAUGGAGCCUUCUGAGCCCCUCUCCCAUCAAUGUUCUAAUGUUGACUGGAUUGAUCUUGUUCAGGUAAUGAUAGGCCCUGUGAGUUCAUGAGUGCAAUGGCCAUGUAAUGCUUAGAAGAGUACUACACAGCACUUUCCCUCAUCCUCCAUCUGUCACAUUGUACCAUGAGGCUUGUUGGGGUGGCAGGAAAUGAUUAUCAGGUAGGGCUGAGCAUUUAUUUAACCAUCACUUAUUUUCAGCAUUUUGGUCAGUUGAGUCUUUGUGUGGAGUUCUCUCCACUGCAGACAGAAGGUACUUUGACAACAGUUGAAAGCAGCACUGAUGUAUGGGUAUAAUCAUAAAUAUUUAGAGAGCAAUUUGAUGUUUCACAGAAGAGCAGUGGUCAGUUUCCCCUCCCACGACCUCUGAUCUUCUGGGGUGGGCUUUUUGUAAGUAGUUUUACUAGCCUAUUUAUUUAUUCCAUUUUUAAAUUAAAAAACCAUGUAUUUUGACUAGACAUUAUUUAUUUAUUUUUAGAAAGGGCUUCAUAUAGCCCAGGAUAGCCUCAAUCUCACUACAAGCUGGCUUUUAUCAGUAUUUUAAAUAAUUUCUUCCAAAUAUUACUCCUCAGCUAUAGUACUGUUUUUUCUUUAGUGGUUGUGGGGGAUCUUUCUGGAAUAAGCACUCCAACACUAUUGAGAAUGAAGUAAAGUUGCCACCAAGGCAAGAGAUUCACAGUUACAGAGCAGCCUGAGCUAUAUUGUGCAUUUUGAGAUGACCCAGCUCAGAGUCUCUUUUAUAAAGGCAUUAAUUCCUCUCAUGACAGCUCCAUUACAUGACCUAAUCACUUCUCAAAGGCUCCACAUUCAAAGAUUAGGGGUUAAGACUAAGGAGAAUAAUAUGAGGAGACAUAAUCAUUCCACUUAUGUUAUAUCAGUUCCCCUCCUACAAAAUAGACUCAUUACAUUCCAGUUCCCCAAAUGCUUUUACUUGCAUCAACUCUCAAUCCAAAGCCUCAUCUACAUAUUGUCUAAAUCAGAUAUGGGUAAUGUGGUUAAUAUCAAUUGUCAACUUGACCAAAUCUAGAAUCAUUAAAGAGGCAAGCCUGUAAAU
ensembl:antisense